AGCAGGCCUGCAGAGCGGGGCUGGCGCCCAGAGAACUGCUGGGAGGCGGUGUCGCGUGGUGAUACCCAAAUGCUGGAGGAAGAAUCAUGAUCUCCAGACCCUAGCCUUUCCCAAGAGGAAAGCACAGGAUAGGAAGGAAUGGGAAUGGUGACUAGUCUCCUCACAGCAGGGCCACAUGGAUCCACGCCCUUCAGCAAUGUGACUGCAGCUUUUACUCACAAAGAGUGGAGGCACUUGGUCCGAGCUCCAAGGGAAGGGUUUGAGGAGAUACCAGAAAAGUCCAGGAACCUGGUCCUACUGGCUCCAGGCGCAACACAGCUUACCCAUGAGGUUCCCUGCAGCCUGCUCCAGCUUCCAGCUUCCCUUCCAAGGUGGUCCUGGCGUGGCUCACACCUGCUCCAACAGCAGCUCUGGGCUCUGAAGUGGCUUCACCUCUGGACUCCUCACAGCCUGAUUCCACUCACACGUCUGCCAAGAUGGUCCCAGCACAGCUUGCCCCUGGGAGCUGUGGCUCACACCCACCACAACUAAAGCUCCAGGCCCCAUUGUGACUUCCCCUGGACUCCGCAGCCUGAGCCCCUCCAACUGGCCUGCCAAGGCACGUCAGAGCACCUGUCCUCAGGACGCCUGCAGCUCCUACACAGGCCACUCCAGAAGGUGCUGUUUUGCCUAAUUCAUAGAAACAGUCAAACGAGACAGAGAAAUAUGUCCCAAAUGAAAGAACAGGACAAAAUCCCAGGAAAAGAAUUAAAUGAGAUGGAGACAAGUAAUCUACCAAAUAGAGUUCAAAACACUGGUUAUAAGGGUGUUUAGUGAACCCAGGAGAAUAGAUUAACUCAGAGAAUCACAAAGAGGUAAGACAUAUAAAGCAACUAGUUACGUACAAAGGAGCCCCCAUAAAACUAUCAGCUACUUUUCAGAAAUUUUGCAGGCCAAAAAGGAAUGGUACAAUAUAUUCAAAAUAAUGAAAGGGGAGGGAACCUGUAACCAACAAUACUCUAUUGAAGGCUAGUUUCCUAGACAAGCAAAAGCUAAACCAGCACCGGAGAAAAAGAAAAUUAGGUGGAAAAGAAAAUUCCUUAAACUAAAAGUAAGAAAAUGUAAGGGUGACCUCAGCAUUAUGGCAGUGUGUGGAAACUCCUUUGUAUCUCCCCUUACAUCGGCAAUCCAAUGAAGCCUGAGAUGUCCAUGCAUCUGAAGGCAGAGGUAUUGGAAUGCAUAGGGGAGGCAGGAUUGGAGCAAGAACAAGGGACAGUGCUUUAGAUGCAGUUCGGUGGCCCCACAUAACACAGUACAGUAGCAAGGGAGGUGUUGGGGUGUGCCCCCACACUAUGGCCCUGCAAAAACAAUAUUGGUGGCCAAGAAUCUGGCUCCCUUCCUCUCCCCCCACUUGCAGCAGAGCCAGGCAGCAGCAGUGAUGGUGCCCAUUAGGAACAGGAGGCAGCCCUGUGGGUGUGUGAACCCAGCUCCUGCCCACCCACUCCAUGGUGGUUACGCCCAAGACUGAGGGGACCCAGACAUACAGUGGGGACACCUAUAACAACCCCUGAAGCACACACAGCACAAGAAAAAAAACCCUGAAAAUAGCACUAUGUCACCUUCUACUGAUAAACAAAACAGAGCCUCUAAUUAUCAACCUAUUGAAUCUUUAAGAUCAAAACAGUAUCUAAACAAGGAAAGAAUCCACUACCUCAAAUGCACAGGCAGAGGAAUGAUCCCUUAAGUACCAUGAACAACCAGGGUAGCAUGUAACUUCCAAGUGUCCAGAAACCAAUCUGAAAGACAUGGAAGACUGAUAUUCAAGAUUCCUGCCAUGAAGAAACUCAACAUACAAGAAAACUGAGCGGCAGUUCAGGUGAGGUCAGGAAUAAAAUUAGUGAACAAAAGGAGUACUUUACCAAAAAGAACCAAACAAAUUCUGCAGCUGAAGAACUAUCACUAAAUGAGAUGAAGAGCACAUUAAGCUCCAGCUGAUGGCUCAGUUGGUUAGGUGGAGCUUCUUCCCAUACACAUAACAAGGAAACAGAAUUUCCAGAGGAUGAGGCCCAGAAAUCAGGAUUUUAAAAAGAUUCCCAGGUGAUUCUAAUGUGCAGCCAAGGCGUCCUCUUAGCGCAGCAGGCAGCUUGUCAGUCUCAUAAUGUGCAGCCAAGGUUGAGAACCACUGCCAUACACCAAACAGGUUGCGGACUGGAUCCCUUGGGGCACAUACAGGAGGCAGCUGAGUGUUUCCCCUUUCCUCUCUAAAAAUCAAUGUACAUAUCCUCAGGUGAGGAUUAUCAAUAAAAUAAAUUAAAAAGCAUUGGAAAUACAAUAAACCAGAUGGAAGACA